rnacentral:tRNA from 1 species
UGGGGUGUAGCCAAGCGGUAAGGCAACGGCCUUUGGAGCCGUCAUCGUAGGUCCGAAUCCUACCACCCCAG